rnacentral:rRNA from 1 species
CAGCAGCCACGGUAAUACGUAGGUGGCAAGCGUUGUCCGGAAUUAUUGGGCGUAAAGCGCGCGCAGGUGGUUUAAUAAGUCUGAUGUGAAAGCCCACGGCUCAACCGUGGAGGGUCAUUGGAAACUGUUAAACUUGAGUGCAGGAGAGAAAAGUGGAAUUCCUAGUGUAGCGGUGAAAUGCGUAGAGAUUAGGAGGAACACCAGUGGCGAAGGCGGCUUUUUGGCCUGUAACUGACACUGAGGCGCGAGAGCGUGGGGAGCAAACAGGAUUAGAUACCCCUGUAGUCCCUGUCUCUUAUAC